rnacentral:rRNA from 1 species
AAACCAGCACCUCAAGUGGUCAGGAGGAUUAUUGGGCCUAAAGCAUCCGUAGCCUGUUCUGUAAGUUUCCGGUUAAAUCCAUUAGCUCAACUAAUGGGCCGCCGAAAAUACUGCAGAACUAGGGAGUGGGAGAGGUAGACGGUACUCGGUAGGAACGGGUAAAAUCCUUUGAUCUAUCGAUGACCACCUGUGGCGAAGGCGGUCUACCAGAACACGUUCGACGGUGAGGGAUGAAAGCUGGGGGAGCAAACCGGAUUAGAAACCCGGGUAGUCC